GCAGCAGGCGAGUGAACUUCUCCUCGGGCCGCUCCGGUUUCGCAGUGGGCGAGGGGGGGUGAGAACACGCAGCGACAGUGCUUCUCUCUGCAAAGAAAUUCCAGAGGUCACCCCCCUCCACCCCCCGCAAAGGAUUUUCUGCAGAGGAAAGUACUUCACGCCGUUGAUUUCAUGCGUAUUGCAGGCGGGGAGGGUUCGCUAGAGAUUCCCAAAUUCACUGGAUGCUGCCAAGUUUGCAAGUCCCGAAGUUGCUAAGCGCUGGGGGGAGAGAGGAGGCGGGGAGGCUCCCUCGCUUCUCCCCUCGCCAGUGCAGCGGGGAAGGCCCGGAGCGGAUAGGGUCGAUGGAAGAGCGGCCUAGGGUGACACGUUAUUUGUUAAACACCCUACCACUGCGGCAGCCAGCUCGCUCUGCAUCGCCAGCAGCCCCACGGUUUUCCCCUCGGUACGUGGACAAACCACCUUCUCUUUUGCUUCUAAGGUCAAAGGGAUUUUAGUUUUGGUCCAAGUUUUUUUUGGAAGCAUCAUUCGAAGAAACCAGCGUCUCUUCCAGGCCACCCCCUUUCAUCGCAGGAGCAGCGAGCGGAGCUGAGGUUUUCUCCCCCUGCCCUCGUCAAAAUGUUGCAUUAAAACAAGAAAACUUUUGGGUCGGCGUGGAACAAAGCUGGGCCCUUAUAACAAUUUUGAAAGCCCCUGUCUGGGGGGUGUUUAUUUCUCAGCAACUAGCAGAGCCAA